rnacentral:rRNA from 1 species
GGGUUGUGAGGUUAAGCGACUAAGCGUACACGGUGGAUGCCCUGGCAGUCAGAGGCGAUGAAGGGCGUGCUAAUCUGCGAUAAGCGCCGGUAAGGUGAUAUGAACCGUUAUAACCGGCGAUACCCGAAUGGGGAAACCCAGUGUGAUUCGUCACACUAUCAUUAACUGAAUCCAUAGGUUAAUGAGGCGAACCGGGGGAACUGAAACAUCUAAGUACCCCGAGGAAAAGAAAUCAACCGAGAUUCCCCCAGUAGCGGCGAGCGAACGGGGAGGAGCCCAGAGCCUGAAUCAGCAUGUGUGUUAGUGGAAGCGUCUGGAAAGGCGCGCGAUACAGGGUGACAGCCCCGUACACAAAAGCGCAUGUGCUGUGAGCUCGAUGAGUAGGGCGGGACACGUGGUAUCCUGUCUGAAUAUGGGGGGACCAUCCUCCAAGGCUAAAUACUCCUGACUGACCGAUAGUGAACCAGUACCGUGAGGGAAAGGCGAAAAGACCCCCGGCGAGGGGAGUGAAAAAGAACCUGAAACCGUGUACGUACAAGCAGUGGGAGCACAGGUUUACCUGUGUGACUGCGUACCUUUUGUAUAAUGGGUCAGCGACUUAUAUUCUGUAGCAAGGUUAACCGAAUAGGGGAGCCGGAGGGAAACCGAGUCUUAACCGGGCGUUAAGUUGCAGGGUAUAGACCCGAAACCCGGUGAUCUAGCCAUGGGCAGGUUGAAGGUUGGGUAACACUAACUGGAGGACCGAACCGACUAAUGUUGAAAAAUUAGCGGAUGACCUGUGGCUGGGGGUGAAAGGCCAAUCAAACCGGGAGAUAGCUGGUUCUCCCCGAAAGCUAUUUAGGUAGCGCCUCGUGAAUUCAUCUCCGGGGGUAGAGCACUGUUUCGGCUAGGGGGCCAUCCCGGCUUACCAACCCGAUGCAAACUGCGAAUACCGGAGAAUGUUAUCACGGGAGACACACGGCGGGUGCUAACGUCCGUCGUGAAGAGGGAAACAACCCAGACCGCCAGCUAAGGUCCCAAAGUCAUGGUUAAGUGGGAAACGAUGUGGGAAGGCCCAGACAGCCAGGAUGUUGGCUUAGAAGCAGCCAUCAUUUAAAGAAAGCGUAAUAGCUCACUGGUCGAGUCGGCCUGCGCGGAAGAUGUAACGGGGCUAAACCAUGCACCGAAGCUGCGGCAGCGAACGUAUCACUUAAAGCGAUUCAGCGGGUUACGAUUGACGGAGCGAAGCGACGUCAAAGCGUAUACAAAGUCGAGUCGGUUUAAGGAUACGUUCGUUGGGUAGGGGAGCGUUCUGUAAGCCUGCGAAGGUGGCCUGUGAGGGUUGCUGGAGGUAUCAGAAGUGCGAAUGCUGACAUAAGUAACGAUAAAGCGGGUGAAAAGCCCGCUCGCCGGAAGACCAAGGGUUCCUGUCCAACGUUAAUCGGGGCAGGGUGAGUCGACCCCUAAGGCGAGGCCGAAAGGCGUAGUCGAUGGGAAACGGGUUAAUAUUCCCGUACUUGGUGUUACUGCGAAGGGGGGACGGAGAAGGCUAUGUUGGCCGGGCGACGGUUGUCCCGGUUUAAGCGUGUAGGUGUGUGUUCCAGGUAAAUCCGGUUCACUUUAACACUGAGGCGUGAUGACGAGGCACUACGGUGCUGAAGUAACAAAUGCCCUGCUUCCAGGAAAAGCCUCUAAGCAUCAGGUAACAUCAAAUCGUACCCCAAACCGACACAGGUGGUCAGGUAGAGAAUACCAAGGCGCUUGAGAGAACUCGGGUGAAGGAACUAGGCAAAAUGGUGCCGUAACUUCGGGAGAAGGCACGCUGACACGUAGGUGAAGUGAUUUACUCACGGAGCUGAAGUCAGUCGAAGAUACCAGCUGGCUGCAACUGUUUAUUAAAAACACAGCACUGUGCAAACACGAAAGUGGACGUAUACGGUGUGACGCCUGCCCGGUGCCGGAAGGUUAAUUGAUGGGGUCAGCGCAAGCGAAGCUCCUGAUCGAAGCCCCGGUAAACGGCGGCCGUAACUAUAACGGUCCUAAGGUAGCGAAAUUCCUUGUCGGGUAAGUUCCGACCUGCACGAAUGGCGUAAUGAUGGCCAGGCUGUCUCCACCCGAGACUCAGUGAAAUUGAACUCGCUGUGAAGAUGCAGUGUACCCGCGGCAAGACGGAAAGACCCCGUGAACCUUUACUAUAGCUUGACACUGAACAUUGAGCCUUGAUGUGUAGGAUAGGUGGGAGGCUUUGAAGUGUGGACGCCAGUCUGCAUGGAGCCGACCUUGAAAUACCACCCUUUAAUGUUUGAUGUUCUAACGUGGACCCGUUACCCGGGUUGCGGACAGUGUCUGGUGGGUAGUUUGACUGGGGCGGUCUCCUCCUAAAGAGUAACGGAGGAGCACGAAGGUUGGCUAAUCCUGGUCGGACAUCAGGAGGUUAGUGCAAUGGCAUAAGCCAGCUUGACUGCGAGCGUGACGGCGCGAGCAGGUGCGAAAGCAGGUCAUAGUGAUCCGGUGGUUCUGAAUGGAAGGGCCAUCGCUCAACGGAUAAAAGGUACUCCGGGGAUAACAGGCUGAUACCGCCCAAGAGUUCAUAUCGACGGCGGUGUUUGGCACCUCGAUGUCGGCUCAUCACAUCCUGGGGCUGAAGCAGGUCCCAAGGGUAUGGCUGUUCGCCAUUUAAAGUGGUACGCGAGCUGGGUUUAGAACGUCGUGAGACAGUUCGGUCCCUAUCUGCCGUGGGCGCUGGAGAACUGAGGGGGGCUGCUCCUAGUACGAGAGGACCGGAGUGGACGCAUCACUGGUGUUCGGGUUGUCAUGCCAAUGGCACUGCCCGGUAGCUAAAUGCGGAAGAGAUAAGUGCUGAAAGCAUCUAAGCACGAAACUUGCCCCGAGAUGAGUUCUCCCUGAGACUUAGAGUCUCCUGAAGGAACGUUGAAGACGACGACGUUGAUAGGCCGGGUGUGUAAGCGCAGCGAUGCGUUGAGCUAACCGGUACUAAUGAACCGUGAGGCUUAACCUUACAACGCCGAAG